rnacentral:rRNA from 1 species
AACUAUAACGGUCCUAAGGUAGCGAAAUUCCUUGUCGGGUAAGUUCCGACCCGCAUGAAAGGCGUAAUGAUUUGGGCACUGUCUCAACGAGGGGCCCGGUGAAAUUGAAAUACCUGUGAAGAUGCAGGUUACCCGCGACUGGACAGAAAGACCCCAUGGAGCUUCACUGCAGCUUGAGAUUGAAUCCCGGUGACAUAUGCACAGGAUAGGUGGGAGGCGACGAAGUAAUGCCUUUGGGUGUUACAGAGCCGAUGUUGGGAUACCACCCUUAUGUUGCUGAGAUUCUAACACGGAGACUAACAACCUCGUGGACCAUCUCAGGCAGGCGGUUUGACUGGGGCGGUCGCCUCCUAAAAUGUAACGGAGGCGCCCAAAGGUUCCCUCAGGCCGGACAGAAACCGGCCGAAGAGUGCAAAGGCAGAAGGGAGCUUGACUGCGAGACAGACAAGUCGAGCAGAGACGAAAGUCGGGCUUAGUGAUCCGGUGGUACUGAGUGGAAAGGCCAUCGCUCAACGGAUAAAAGCUACCCUGGGGAUAACAGGCUAAUCUCUCCCAAGAGUUCAUAUCGACGGGGAGGUUUGGCACCUCGAUGUCGGCUCAUCACAUCCUGGAGCUGGAGUAGGUUCCAAGGGUUGGGCUGUUCGCCCAUUAAAGUGGUACGCGAGCUGGGUUCAAAACGUCGUGAGACAGUUUGGUUCAUAUCCAUCGCGGGCGCAAGAAGUUUGAGGGAGGCUGCUCCUAGUACGAGAGGACCGGAGUGGACGGAUCAACGGUGUACCAGUUGUCACGCCAGUGGCACGGCUGGAAAGCCGCAUCCGGAAAGGAUAAACGCUGAAAGCAUCUAAGCGUGAAGCCCGUCCCGAGAUGAGACUUCUCAUCAGAAAUGAGUAAGACCCCUUAAAGACGAUGAGGUUGAUAGGCUGUGAGUGGAAGUGGCGCGAGCCAUGGAGCGACGCAGUACUAAUAGGUCGAGGUCUUAGCUUA